CGUUGACGUAUUUGACAAUGGUAAGCAAACUCAUUUUUCUUUCUAUGGACAGAAUAUAUAUAUACAUAAAUAAAUGCACAUACACAUACAUACACACAAAACACACAGUUAAUAAUCACCAGAUACAAAUGCUAAAUACGCUAUCAUUAAGAGAGAUUGUUCAUGCUAGUGUAUAAUUGAUAAACACUUGUGUUCAGAAACUUGUUGAAAAAGUACACGAUACAAGAGACAGAGUUUAGGCUAAUCAUUUUAGAGCUGAAAUAUCGCAACUUACAACUACUAGUUUCUUUUAAAUUGAAAGCCAAAUAACAUGUGUUUACACACACACGUGCAAUAUCCAUGCUUAGGUAACUCUACAAAUGGGAUUUUGUGAAAUUUUUAAAGAAUAGUUUCUUGAAGAAUUCGGCAUUUGGGAAAAUAACCAUGUUUUUUUUUUUUUUUUCAUUUAUCCAUGAAACAUGCUGUGAUAGAUUUGGAUAAGGUUGUGGCGCCAAUUCAAUGCAAAAUAUGUUUCUUUAUUAGCCACACAGACGGACAGAUUACAAAGUAAAGCUUUUCUUUUUGGAGAAAAACUGAUGGCCAGAUGAAGGAAGACCAAUAACAGACGACACAAACAGUGUUCAAGAGUGAACCUGAUGCAGUUUCAACAGACACCAAAGUAAUCUGGAGAAAAGUAUGAGAGUGAAGACCUAAGCGAAGGGACGAAGAACAGAUCGUUUGCCAGAAGUAUACAAGAGAGAUGCUAUAUGACAGAAGUGGUGACAUAGCUGCAACUGCUUCGAUGUAGUAGUCACAAGGAUAACAAGAGAGAGAAAAGUAUACUGAAGCUUUACCUUUUGACCUACAGAUUUAAAAAAAUAAUUUUUUGUAACUAAACACUUUCAAACUUCGGACACUGGUAGAAUGUGUCAUAUAAAACAUCUUUUACUCUUAGCAUUUUUGAGAAAAACUUAUAUUUACGAAGUAAUUUCACGUUAAAGUAAGCCUAUUUCGGUAAUUUCAACCAAUCAAUGACGUGUAUUCAGCUGAAUAAAAUUACUGCCGUUGUUUGUCAACAACUAUCGGUGGUGUAUUUCUCGUUUGUCAUUGUUAUUUAUGACAUCGUUCGUGCGUUUGUACUGGUUUUAUCUUUACGGUUUUAGGGUCAGAGUUUUAGGGUUAGGGUGCUAGGGUUAGGGUUUUAGGGUUAGGUUUAGGGUUAAGGUUUUAGGGUUAGGGUUAGGGUUGUCAUAAAUAACAGUGACAAACGAAAAAUACACUGCCGGAAGUUCUUGUUGACAAACAACGGCAGUAAUUUUAUUCAGCUGAAUAAACGCCAUUGAUUGGUUGAAAUUACCGAAAUAGGCCUACUUUAACGUGAAAUUACUUCGUAAAUAUAAGUUUUCUCAAAUAUGCUAAGAGUAAAACAUGUUUUAUAUGACACAUUCUACCAGUGUCCGAAGUUUGAAAGUAUUUAGUUACAAAGAAUUAUUUUUUAAAUCUGUAGGUCAAAGGGUAAAGAUCCAGUAUUCUAUAGUGUAGAUCAAAAUAACCCAGACAUUCCCUGAUAGCUUAAAUGCUCCUGAAAACCGUUAGAGGGAGCAAUACUGUCGGAAUAUGUACUCAUGGACGCCUGAUUAUAAGAAUAGCUGGGAAACAUAGCUGUAUGUAAAAUAUUGGUGAAAAAGACUGCCACAAAAAGUGUGUGGCACUUUGGGAAUUAAAGGUGAAAUUUCAGAAGGAUGGAGCGAAGUCUCAGAAAGAUGAUAUAGCAACAACCUAUAAAAUAUCAGGAACAAUAUGAAAGGUCUAACGGAUUAUAAAUGCCCUAAAAAUGUCUCCCCAGAUAGGGAACAUAUAUGCAAUAGUCUUUUCAUGCAUUGACAUAUCACGUCAAGCAUGUAGCUGGGAUGUGUUUAUCGGAGUUCAAACAGGAUGAAAAAUCUAUUGUAUAAAACAUUGCUGUAGUACUUACUUAGACAGUAAAGAGAAUCAGAAAUGGCCGCCAGUGGAGGCGAUUAACAGGAGUUGGACACAAGAUGAAUUUAACAGUGUUCAGGACAAAUUACGGAUCUUUUCGGUUUGAACGGCAGUUUUUGUUAAUAAUUUCCACGUAACUAAACACUUUUAAACUUCGUAUACUGGUAGAAUGUGUUUAUAAACAUCUUUUUCUCUUGGCUUUAUUGAGAAAAUUCAAUAGUUUGUAAGAUAUUUGUUGUUUUUUCUUCUUCAAUUUCUGCAAUUUCAACCAAUCAAUGACGUCUAUUGAGGUGAAAACAUUCUGUGCCAUAUGAAAAUGUCCCUCGUUUAAGAAACAGAUUGGGUUUAUUUACAUUUCUGAAGAAAAAAAGAUACCCUUCCCCUAACCCUAACUAACCCUAACUCAAACCCUAACCCUAAAAUAGAUUAAAAUGCAAUAGGUCGAUACUAGGGUCAUUUUCAUAUGAGACCGCUAGUAGCAUCAUUGCUGUUCAAUAGCGAUGAAGGGAUAUGAAAUUGUUGAUUAAAAGGUACUAAAAUU
rnacentral:lncRNA from 1 species